UCCGUAUCUUCAAGAAAUAGCUUUCAAGUGCCUUUCUGCAGUUUUUCAGGAGCGCAAGAUAGGUU
rfam:Sus scrofa chromosome 10.